AUAAGAACUUAAACCGCAAUCGGA
rnacentral:siRNA from 1 species